GACGAACGCUGGCGGCGUGCCUAAUACAUGCAAGUCGAACGCAGUGGGGACGGGUGAGUAACACGUGGGUAACCUCCCAUCAGAGGGGAUAACACUUGGAAACAGGUGCUAAACCGAUACUGAUGGAUGGACCCGCGGUGCAUUAGCUAGUUGGUGAGGUAACGGCUCACCAAGGCCACGAUGCAUAGCCGACCUGAUAGGGUGAUCGGCCACACGGGGACUGAGACACGGUCCAGACUCCUACGGGAGGCAGCAGUAGGGAAUCUUCGACAAUGGGCGAAAGUCUGACCGAGCAACGCCGCGUGAGUGAAGAAGGUUUUCGGAUCGUAAAGCUCUUUUAUUAGGGAAGCGUUAUCUAACCAAAAAGCCACGGCUAACUACGUGCCAGCAGCCGCGGUAAUUC
rnacentral:rRNA from 1 species